AUGUUAGAAGGUGCUAAAUCAAUAGGUGCCGGAGCUGCUACAAUUGCAUUAGCCAGAGCUGCUAUCGGUAUUGGAAACGUCCUCAGUUCUUCGAUUCAUUCCGUGGCGGGAAAUCCAUCAUUGGCUAAACAAUCAUUUGGUUAUGCCAUUUUGGGCUUUGCUCUCACCAAAGCUAUUGCAUUGUUUGCCCCAAUGAUGGCCUUUCUAAUCUCACUCGUUUUCCGAUCGCAUAAAAAGUCAUGA
rnacentral:rRNA from 1 species